rnacentral:ncRNA from 1 species
AGACAAGAGCAAACCCAUCGCAAGGUGGGGACGCAAAGCUACAGGGGCUUUUAAGCCAGCCAGCUGCCGC